AUUGAACGCUGGCGGCAUGCUUUACACAUGCAAGUCGAACGGUAACAGGCCUUCGGGUGCUGACGAGUGGCGUACGGGUGCGUAAUGCAUCGGAACGUGCCCAGAGGUGGGGGAUAACGCAGCGAAAGCUGUGCUAAUACCGCAUGUGAUCUGAGGAUGAAAGCGGGGGACCAAGCAGCAAUGUUUGGCCUCGCGCCUCUGGAGCGGCCGAUGUCAGAUUAGGUAGUUGGUGGGGUAAAGGCCUACCAAGCCGACGAUCUGUAGCUGGUCUGAGAGGACGACCAGCCACACUGGGACUGAGACACGGCCCAGACUCCUACGGGAGGCAGCAGUGGGGAAUUUUGGACAAUGGGCGCAAGCCUGAUCCAGCAAUGCCGCGUGCGGGAAGAAGGCCUUCGGGUUGUAAACCGCUUUUGUACGGAACGAAAAGGCUCUGGCUAAUACCUGGGGCUGAUGACGGUACCGUAAGAAUAAGCACCGGCUAACUACGUG
rnacentral:rRNA from 1 species